rnacentral:rRNA from 1 species
UACGGGGGGGGCAAGCGUUGUUCGGAAUUACUGGGCGUAAAGGGCUCGUAGGCGGCCAACUAAGUCGGAUGUGAAAUCCCCAGGCUUAACCUGGGAACUGCAUCCGAUACUGGAUGGCUUGAAUCCGGGAGAGGGAUGCAGAAUUCCAGGUGUAGCGGUGAAAUGCGUAGAUAUCGUAAGGAAGACCAGUGGCGAAGGCGGGUCUCUGGACAGUUCCUGACGCUGAGGCACGAAGGCCAGGGGAGCAAACGGG